ensembl:lncRNA
UACAAUAUUGCUUCUGUUGUUUAUGUGUUGGUUUUUUGGCCGCAAGGCAUGUGGGGUCUUAGUUCCCUAACCAGGGAUCAAACCCACACUCCUGCAUUGGGAGGCAAAGUAUUUAACCAUUGGACCACCAGGGAAGUCCCUGAACAUUGUCUUCUGGAGUCAGUGGUGGCCCAUCUGAGUGGGCACAGAGAAUUCUUUUGAAGGGCAGUGGGGACAAGGUGGAGAGGUGGGAAAAGAAACGCCGCGGGCUGAGCCUGAGUUACCGCCUCUGGUGGAGCCAGCGGUUCCCGCAGCCUCCAGUCGCGAGGAAAGGAGUGGGGAAAACUUCUGGGUGUGAAUAAGUCCCUGGAGCUGGACUCUCUUCCUCUGCCUGGACCCUGUCUGCCCAGUCAGUGUAGAAAAUGGUGUGGCUGCAUUAGGGGACCCACUCAGCUACAUACAGAUAGAAGAAACAUCACCCUCUAUGAUGUAGGCAGAUUCUUUACCAUCUGAGACUCCAGAGAAGCCCUCCCAGUAUAGGAAAGUUGUUCUCAAACUCAAGGCCUGCAUGUUCAUGAACAGUGCAUGGUGAGAUGUAACAAAGACAGCUGAAGAUUCCUCUCAAGGGCUGUGACAAAGAGUUGGGUAAGAAGAAGAAGUAUUAUUCAACAAGGACCUACUGUACAGCACAGGAAACUGCUCAGUGUUUUGUGGCAGCCUUGCUGGGAGGGGAGUGUGGGGGAGAAUGGAUACAUGUGUAUGUAUGGCUGAGUCCCUUUGCUGCUGUUCACCUGAAACCAUCACAAUAUUGUUAAUCGGCUAUACUCCAAUAUGAAAUAAAAAGUUAGAUGAAAAGAUGCUAGUUGCUCAGUCAUGUCCGACUCUUCACGACUCCAUGGACUGUAGCCAGCCAGGUUCCUCUGUCCAUGGGGUUCUUCAGGCAAGAGUACUGGAAUGGGCUGCCAUUCCCGUCUCCAGGGGAUCUUCCCGACC